ensembl:lncRNA
AAAGGGACAGGCUUCGGAUGCAUGGGAUGCUUUUGUUACAGCACAUGGCGAGAAGAAGACGGGCUGUCAUCUCCAGCGAAGCAUCCUCCGAAGCGCAUCAGCAAAGACACACAUACAUUGUGUGUAGGAGAGACCGGGGAGUUGUAAGACCAUCAGUUUAGCCAAUUAGAAAUGAGCUACAGAGGAGAAUCUUACAUUGACCACCACCCUUCUAAGGUGACAGCUGUGUUCACAAAACCAUUGUGAGAAGCGUUGACAUCAUCCGCUGGUGAUUUGUAACUACAGGAACAAUGCUGAGGAACCAGCAUCCGCUCAGCAGCUCUCUCAGCCCCACCCAGCAGCACUCAGCAUCUCUGCAGUACUUCUUCCUCAAAGAUAGAGAGAGAGAGGGAGACGGAGCGGGAGAGCGAGUAGGAAGUGGGAAGUCACCUCCGUCACUGUAAGUCACCCAACUAAUCAGCUCAGCUCAGCGCCUGGUGGGGGGAGGGGGGUGGUGGUAAGAGAGAGAGAGGAAAAGAGUGAGAGAGAGGUAACAAUUUCAAGGGGUGACUGAACAGCCACGUAAGGUGCUCCUGCCAUGUUCCCUCAAAGGAUGGGUUCACUGGAUGUGAAUGGAAUCAAAUUAGGAGAGAUGGCCAGCCGGGUUGGGGGCCGAUAUGAAGUGUUACUGUGGUGUUAUUGCAUUAAAGAAAUACAUCAGAAUGAUUUUUUUGAUGCAUAGUUGGAGUUAGUGAGCUAACGAGCAAGAUAACUAGCUAUAGGUGUUCUCACACUGAGUAAUGCAUAUUUUGAGGGAUUUUUUUGCACUAGGGUUGCCUUCUCUGUUAUCAAAAAAGGUGAAAUCACUGCACUCUGCCAACUCGG